rnacentral:misc_RNA from 1 species
GUUUCUUGAGCUUCUUCUGUCAACUACAUGAAAAAUUUACAAGCACCUUUGUGUGACUUUAGCCCUUGGUCAGCAGCUAUUUCUUGCCCAAGUAGAUGUGACUGCUGCAUAAAACUAUUUUCCUGCCGAAGGGGGAUGCUUGGCAGCACAUUUAGACCUUUCAAUCUGUAACUGAGUUUCCAUGAACAUAUUCAUCCUUUGUACCUCAAGGUCCUUGGUGAAUUCCAUCCUCUGCUUCUCCAACUCCAUCAUCUGCUGCUGCUUUGAGCUUUCAAUCCUUUCAUAUAUCUCCCCAAACCUCAAAAUUGCCCUAGCUAAUUCCUUAAAUGCGGUGGUAUCCUCGGAUAACCCUACGUACUCCAUCUUAUUCUUCCUCUCUCCACUCCCAAAGGCCAAAUCAUCAUGUGAGCUGUCAUUUGAACCACUUGAAUUCAACCUGGAUGAUCCACCUGAAUAAUUCAAUGCACCAAAGUUUGAGUCGGGGCUAAUUUUUUCCUUAACGGCAAGUGAUAUCGAGGCAGACGGUCUUCUAUUACACGGUGAGGCAGAAACAUUAUUGGUUGCGAUGAGAUAAUCAAGACGGUUAUAAAAGGGCCACUUUGAAGGAGUUGACUUGUUUUUCUCAAGCUUGUACUUCUUCUUCAAAGUAUCGAUCCGGUUCUUACAUUGUACAUCAGUGCGCUGAGGCUUAACUCCAUUUUGACGUGAAUUAACGGAGUAGGCGACUUCCUUCCAGUCCUUCUGCCGGAGAUUACCGCGAUUAAGCCUGAGAUAGCG